CUCAUAAGUUUGACAAUAAGAGGAACCAUUUAUGCUCUAAAUUUAAAGCAUAUGGUGGUGUCACAAAAUCGGAGGCCACGACUGUUUACUAAAAACACAAUUCAGAGCAAUGAUGAAAAUCAUAGUAUUCUGGAUGAAAUUUGCCCGAUGCCAUUAACAUAAAAGAGGUAAUGGGAAACUGUUACUAAUUGAAAGUCUGGUUAAUAGCGGUCUUAACUAUGAGGAUCCUAAGGUAGCAAAAUCAGUUGGCCAUUAAAUGUGGUCUGGUAUCAAUAGUGUAACGAUGGUCUCACUGUCUCUACAACUUGCUCAGUGAAAUUGAAUUAUCCGUGCAGAUGCGGAUUGCCUCCAGGUGGACGGGAAGACCCUAU
rnacentral:rRNA from 1 species